CAGAGGCAGGAUUCUGAAGAUGGUCAGCAGUGAUGGAGAGUUUUGAAGUUCCAACAAAGCUUAGAAGAAUUGCUACUGGUGUUCCAGAUGAUAUGACUUUCUCGAGAAAUCUUUAGACAAGUGUCCCAGGGAUUGAAGCAGUGGAAAAGGCUGAAACAGGAUCCUGAAGAGCUGUAGAGCUGUAUGUGUCUGAGCUACUCAAACGCCCCUCGCUUUGUCUCAAGGGACCGUCCAUCUGUUCUCUCUGUCUGACACACUCUGAAACCAAACAUGCUGUGACCAACUUGGCUCAGUGUGAGAAACUGUCAGCUUGCUCAAGAAGGUAGUAACAUACCUCCUCCAGAGACUUCUUUGGGAUGAGCGCUACGAACAGUUCCAGAAACAACAUGUCGUACCUGUCCUUACCUUUCAGAAGCUUUGUGGAGGCUUCUGGGAAACAUUUGUUUUAGAGAUGUACAUGUGGGUCUCACCUCUUUCCCUUCAAGCUUUCCUUUCUCCUUGCUAUAGAAUGUGGACACUGUAUUAUGACGGCAGGGCCAAAUUAAAAUCGUGUGAGAUAAAAGACUAGAGACUGCAGACACCUUAGCUUUGAUGAAGAUGGGCCAAAGAGCUCCUGGUAAUCGGAUUUGAAGAUGGAUUACAAAUCAAAAUAAACAACCAAACUUGUGUGUA